rnacentral:tRNA from 1 species
GCUACUGUGGCUCAGGGGUAGAGCACCACCUUGGUAAGGUGGGGGUCAUGGGUCCGAUUCCCAUCAGUAGCUCCA